rfam:Erwinia sp. Leaf53 contig_1, whole genome shotgun sequence.
UCACCGCUGGUGAUACACAGGGUCCAGUCACUUAAAGCCCCGAAUUUUCGGGGUUUUUUGUUAUUACGAAUCAGCAUCACUGGGCUAUUAAGCCCUUUUUUU